AUUGAACGCUGGCGGCAUGCCUUACACAUGCAAGUCGAACGGCAGCGCGGGAGCAAUCCUGGCGGCGAGUGGCGAACGGGUGAGUAAUAUAUCGGAACGUGCCCAGUAGUGGGGGAUAGCCCGGCGAAAGCCGGAUUAAUACCGCAUACGACCUACGGGUGAAAGGGGGGGAGUCGCAAGACCUCUCGCUAUUGGAGCGGCCGAUAUCAGAUUAGGUAGUUGGUGGGGUAAAGGCCUACCAAGCCUGCGAUCUGUAGUUGGUCUGAGAGGACGACCAGCCACACUGGGACUGAGACACGGCCCAGACUCCUACGGGAGGCAGCAGUGGGGAAUUUUGGACAAUGGGCGCAAGCCUGAUCCAGCAAUGCCGCGUGCAGGAAGAAGGCC
rnacentral:rRNA from 1 species